rnacentral:rRNA from 1 species
UACGAAGGGGGCUAGCGUUGCUCGGAAUUACUGGGCGUAAAGCGCACGUAGGCGGGUUGUUAAGUCGGGGGUGAAAUCCUGGAGCUCAACUCCAGAACUGCCUUCGAUACUGAAGAGCUCGAGUCCGGGAGAGGUGAGUGGAACUGCGAGUGUAGAGGUGAAAUUCGUAGAUAUUCGCAAGAACACCAGUGGCGAAGGCGGCUCACUGGCCCGGUACUGACGCUGAGGUGCGAAAGCGUGGGGAGCGAACGGG